rnacentral:piRNA from 1 species
UCAACCAAAUUGUCUUGCCUAUUCACCCCA